UACAGAGGUGGCAAGCGUUGUUCGGAAUUACUGGGCGUAAAGCGCGUGUAGGCGGCUCUUCAAGUCAGGCGUGAAAGCCCCGGGCUCAACUCGGGAACUGCGCUUGAUACUGUCGAGCUAGAGUGUGGAAGGGGCGAUUGGAAUUCCGUGUGUAGCGGUGAAAUGCGUAGAUAUACGGAGGAACACCAGAGGCGAAGGCGGAUCGCUGGGCCAACACUGACGCUGAGACGCGAAAGCUUGGGUAGCAAACGGG
rnacentral:rRNA from 1 species